rnacentral:rRNA from 1 species
GUGGGGAAUAUUGGACAAUGGGCGCAAGCCUGAUCCAGCAAUGCCGCGUGCAGGAAGAAGGCCUUCGGGUUGUAAACUGCUUUUGUACGGAACGAAACGGUCCGGGUUAAUACCCUGGGCUAAUGACGGUACCGUAAGAAUAAGCACCGGCUAACUACGUGCCAGCAGCCGCGGUAAUACGUAGGGUGCAAGCGUUAAUCGGAAUUACUGGGCGUAAAGCGUGCGCAGGCGGUUUUGUAAGACAGGCGUGAAAUCCCCGGGCUCAACCUGGGAGUUGCGCUUGUGACUGCAAGGCUGGAGUGCGGCAGAGGGGGAUGGAAUUCCGCGUGUAGCAGUGAAAUGCGUAGAUAUGCGGAGGAACACCGAUGGCGAAGGCAAUCCCCUGGGCCUGCACUGACGCUCAUGCACGAAAGCGUGGGGAGCAAACAGGAUUAGAAACCCUUGUAGUCC